rnacentral:rRNA from 1 species
AGCCUGAACGCUGGCGGCGUGGCUAAGACAUGCAAGUCGUACGGAGCAGGUAGCAAUACCUGUUCAGUGGCGAACGGGAGAGUAAUGAAUCGCUAAUGUGCCCCGGACUCUGAGAUAGCUAGCCGAAAGGCUAGGUAAUAUCAGAUGACACCACCUUACCGCAUGGUGAGGUGUUCAAAGGUCCGCCGGUCUGGGAGCAGGCGAUUUCGAUCAGCUAGUUGGUAGGGUAACGGCCUACCAAGGCGACGACGCGUAGCCGGACUGAGAGGUUGGCCGGCCUCAUUGGGACUGAGACACUGCCCAGACUCCUACGGGGGGCUGCAGUAACGAAUCUUCCGCAAUGCACGAAAGUGUGACGGAGCGACGCCGCGUGUGGGACGAAGUUCUUCGGAAUGUAAACCACUGUCAGGAGUAAGAAAGUUCUGAUCUACUCCAGAGAAGGCACGGCUAACUCUGUGCCAGCAGCCGCGGUAAUCGUGAGCGGUCG